AGUGUAGAGGUAGAUAAGAUGCUGUGUUCUUCCUCAGGUAAUUUAUCUACCUCUCACAAC
rnacentral:pre_miRNA from 1 species